UACAGAGGUCUCGAGCGUUAGGCGGAAUCACUGGGCUUAAAGCGUGCGUAGGCGGAUGCCUAAGUACCUUGUGAAAUCCCACAGCUUAACUGUGGAACUGCUUGGUAUACUGGGUGUCUUGAGUCACUCAGGGGCGAGCGGAACAAAUGGUGGAGCGGUGAAAUGCGUAGAUAUCAUUUGGAACGCCAAUGGUGAAAACAGCUCGCUGGGGGUGCACUGACACUGAGACACGAAAGCCAGGGGAGCGAACGGG
rnacentral:rRNA from 1 species